GGGCAUGCUUUUACCAUCAAAGUUGGUUUGUCAUAGAGUUCGCGACUAUCACAGCCAGCUUUGAUGAACAAAAUUGUG
rnacentral:pre_miRNA from 1 species